rnacentral:rRNA from 1 species
GACGAACGCUGGCGGCGCGCUUAACACAUGCAAGUCGAGCGAUGAAAUUUCGACAGAUCCCUUCUGGGUGAAGAUGAAAUGGAUUAGCGGCGGACGGGUUAGUAACACGUUAGUAACCUGCCUUUGACAUUGGGAUAGCCUCGGGAAACUGGGAUUAAUACCACAUGACACUAACUGAUCACAUGAUCAAUUAGUCAAAGAAAUUCGGUCAAAGAUGGACUCGCUGCUGAUUAGCUAGUUGGUGAGGUAACGGCCCACCAAGGCGACGAUCAGUAGCCGGCAUGAGAGGCUGAUCGGCGACAUUGGAACGGGGACACGGUCCAAACUCCUACGGGAGGCAGCAGUGGGGAAUAUUGCACAAUGGGGGAAACCCUGAUGCAGCGACGCCGCGUGAGCGAAGAAGGCCGUCGGGUCGUAAAGCUCUUUUAUGAGGGAAGAUAAUGACGGUACCUAAAGAGAAAGCCCCGGCUAACUACGUG